rnacentral:lncRNA from 1 species
CAGUCUUUGAGUAUAUUGAAUUGUGUUGAAAAUUUGAAUUACAAUGCAAACAAUCCCCAGUUUACAUAUUGAUUAGGAUUAGAAUUUGGAAUGCUGAUCUUUCUAUGGUGACAGUGUUAGGAGGUUUGAUUUCCAGACCAAGCCACAUAAGUUUGUUUAACCUCAAAAGCUGCUGAAUUCAUGUUAAUAAUAACCCUGAGCCCCAGGCUUGUCUAAGCCUAAUGGUAACCAGUAUUUUGGGCCCUGAGUAGUUCUUAUUUGUGUUGGGGAAUAAUAGUACUUUUUGGUUUUGGCAGUAUUAGGAAUUGAACUUAGGGGUGCUCUGCACAAAGAUACACCCCAAACCUUUUAUUUUUAAGACAAGGGCUCACUAAGUUACUGAGGCUAGUCUCAAACUUGCAAUCCUCCUGUUUUAGCUUCCUGAGUUGCUGAAAUUACAGGAGUGCAACCCUGUGCCCAGCUGGAAUAAUAGCAUUAUUUCUUCAACUUUAUCUUUUUAUGGUUUAUGAAGUAUCUUCAGAUUAGAUCUGAAAGGUCAUUGGUACACAUACUGUUUUGCAGGUUAAGAAACCGAAGCUUGACAGAGGAAAGGACAUAAAGCUAUUGUUGUGGGGGAGGUGGAGUGGAAAGGGGAGAGGAGCCAGGACUUGGACCCACGUGACUUUUAAUUUCAGUCCUGUCUAAUGUGUGCAGCAUAUCUUGCUUUGCCCAAGACCUUUCCUAAAAGUCCUGCAUCUUGAGAACUUCCUUACUCUUGCCAAGUGGGAUGGUUCAUCCCUAUCCCUGUCCUUUUCUGCUGUUUAUGCCUUCAGUCCACAGUGGUUUAAGGUAGGAGAAAGUGCACUGUGAGAGUGUAGAGGGGAUGGCUUCAAUUUCAGGCAGGUUAGCAGCUGUUCCUGUGUGUCAAGUUGCUUAUUGGUCAGGAACUGCCUGUACUGUAUGUACUGGGAAUGAAAAAAAGUUAAGCCAUCCAUGAAAGUUAUUUCUGUUAUGUAAAGUGCUCUUCAUUCCUAAGGACAGUAUGUUUUAAUAAUUUAGGUAGUUAAGUUUUAGUCCCAUUCUUGUUUUAUCUUAGUCCAGUUGUGAUCAGAGAGAAUGAGAAGCACCCAGAAUGUUUUUCCCAUUGGUAAAACUGUGAUUCAGAUAUUUUCCCUUUCUUUCCCCUCCCUCCGUGCCUUUCUUCCUACCUUCCUUCUUUUUUAAAGUUGUUUAUGGUUAUACAUAGUAGUUGGGCUUAUGACAAACUCAGACCUGCAUGGAAAUCAAUUGCAGUUCAUGAUUGCCCCCUUUUCUUCCCCCUUCACUGUUUCUAAUUGCCCCGUAGCAAUAAAAACUUCAUAGUGCACUAUUCUCUGAGAGUUGCAUUACUGUUCUCUUCAAUUGUAUGACUGUGGCACCGUCAUAGAUUGAAUGCCAGCCAGCAGAAGCUCCUAGUGGUUCAUGGUAUAAAAUGGGAAGAAAGCUGGGACCUGUGUGUCAUUGAGUGACUGCUGGGAAUUAGUUUGGAAACAUCUAGCAUUUUACACUUAAGUAGAGCCACUGUCACUCCAGUCCAGAAGCACCUAGAAAGCAUUGCUUAACCCUCUUGUCAUAGUUGGAUGGUUGAUUCCUACUUUUAAAUAAUAGGAACUUAUAUCAACAGUCUGAGACUCUUAAUUUUUGGGGUAAAAGCAAGUCAUUAGUGAGGGUAUGUCUUCCUUAGACAAAUAACUCACGUGAUCAGUAGUGGCCCUUGAAGACUUGUUAUAGUGUUGUGAUUAUAAGUGCUAUGUGGUGACUUUUACUUGUACACUUAAAUCAUUUCAUUCUGGGAUUGUGUGUUGUUUCAAUGUUACACAUUGUAAGCAUGUAGUCAGCAAAUUAUUCCAAGUCUGUUUUGCUCACAGGUUGUUUAACCACCUUUAUAAUACCAUAUUCAGAAUACUGAAGAGCACAGUUACCUGGCUAGGCCCAGCUUAGGACCUGGAGAUCAAGGCAGGUUGCUUCCAUUUUAGCCAUAGGCCUCUGAGUAUGGCUUGAUAUUGUUAAUGGAAAUAGAGAAUAGAGCUGGAAGGAGCUUCUCUUUACCUUAUCUUGCUCUCCAGCAUUCCUGCCAGUCCUUGAAAGUCUGUGACUAAAUCCUAGAAUGUUAAGAUUCUACAAGGAAGGCAGGGCCCUGAAUUGAUAAAAGAUGCCCUUUGGAACCUCCUCUCAGGCACAAGACUAGUUAACACAGCUAGAACCCAGUGGUUUAAAGAGAAUUGUGAGAAUGUGAAGUAAUAGGCUAUUAUUUGGUCUAUUCAGUGGAGGAAGGAUUUCUAUUUGAAGGUUUUAGGAAGAGUCCUGAAAGUAGUGAUGUGUGUGUGUAAGUCACAGAAUUAAACUUUAUACCCUACAUGUCAGAGCUGGUGUGUGUCACCUCUAGUGAGCCUGGUGUGCUUCAUUGGCCACAUGGUUUAUGUGAGAGUAGUUAGGUUCUUACACUGUAUGGACAAUUCGUGGUCUGUGGACACAUCCUAAUAGAUGUCAAGAUGUUGGGCCCAACUCACAAUUUGAUUUUGAGUCGAAUGCACAAGAAUUAAGUGGAUCUGGAUUUUAUUUGGCUUAGUACACAAUGUUAAAUUUUCUCACAUGAAUUAACAAGUUGAACUCUUCAUACCUACACGAUAGGGAAAC